GACGAACGCUGGCGGCGUGCUUAACACAUGCAAGUCGAACGGAAAGGCCCUGCUUUUGUGGGGUGCUCGAGUGGCGAACGGGCGAGUAACACGUGAGUAACCUGCCCUUGACUUUGGGAUAACUUCAGGAAACUGGGGCUAAUACCGGAUAGGAGCUCCUGUUGCAUGGUGGGGGUUGGAACGUUUCGGCGGUUGGGGAUGGACUCGCGGCUUAUCAGCUUGUUGGUGGGGGAGUGGCUUACCAAGGCUUUGACGGGUAGCCGGCCUGAGAGGGUGAACGGCCACAUUGGGACUGAGAUACGGCCCAGACGCCUACGGGAGGCAGCAGUGGGGAAUAUUGCACAAUGGGCGGAAGCCUGAUGCAGCAACGCCGCGUGCGGGACGACGGCCUUCGGGUUGUAAACCGCUUUCGCCUGUGACGAAGCGUGAGUGACGGUAAUGGGUAAAGAAGCACCGGCUAACUACGUG
rnacentral:rRNA from 1 species